rnacentral:rRNA from 1 species
UACGUAGGGCGCAAGCGUUAUCCGGAAUUAUUGGGCGUAAAGAGCUCGUAGGCGGUUUGUCGCGUCUGCCGUGAAAGUCCGGGGCUCAACUCCGGAUCUGCGGUGGGUACGGGCAGACUAGAGUGAUGUAGGGGAGACUGGAAUUCCUGGUGUAGCGGUGAAAUGCGCAGAUAUCAGGAGGAACACCGAUGGCGAAGGCAGGUCUCUGGGCAGUAACUGACGCUGAGGAACGAAAGCGUGGGUAGCGAACAGG